GUGCCAGCAGCCGCGGUAAGACAGAGGUGGCAAGCGUUGCUCGGAGUUACUGGGCAUAAAGGGCGCGUAGGCGGUCGAGUGCGUCGGUGGUGAAAUCCCCGGGCUCAACCCGGGAACUGCCAUCGAUACGGCCCGACUUGAGUGCGGGAGGGGAGAGUGGAACUCCUGGUGGAGCGGUGAAAUGCGUAGAUAUCAGGAGGAACGCCGGUGGCGAAAGCGACUCUCUGGUCCGCAACUGACGCUGAGGCGCGAAAGCCAGGGGAGCAAACGGGAUUAGAAACCCGCGUAGUCC
rnacentral:rRNA from 1 species